CCGCGAGCAAUCGACGAACCAGAAGAAUACCGGCGAGAGGAUCGCGAGCAACCGACCGGCGUGCUACCUCCCUCUCUCUCUGCCCUCCCUCUUUCCGACCGACCGGCAUGCGACCUCCCCCUCUCUCUCUGCCCUUCCUCUUUCCGACCGACCGGCAUGCGACCUCCCUCUCUCUCUGCCCUCCCUCUUUCCGACCGGCGAACCACCGCACCACCCCUCCGGCUCCAGAUCUGGCCCCGACUCGUCCGUCCCCUGCUCUUUCUCUCCCCUUGCGUCUCUGUCUGCCCUCCCUCUCUUCGCGGCGAACCAGCGCGUGACCGGCGAACCACUAGCCUGAACACUGAUAAUGUUUAGUUUUUUCAUCAGUUAUUAAUAAAAUCUUAUGUUCCUUAUUCUUUUUUAGCAGACAAGUUCUGGGGAUACCACUGGCAUGAACACUGGAACUUCUUCGGACAUUGGAAAUGCAGGUUUACUUGGACAGUAGAAUCUGUUGAGGCUCCCAAGAGGCCUACGCAAGUUCCUGAUGCCAUUAAGCAUGGGGGAUUUAUUGCUUAUGAGCGAAGGUGUUAAAUAUAGGGACCCUAAUGUUCGGAUGAACGAUUGGAAGGAAGUCAUGGAGGAGUCCAAACCAGGUCCCCUGUUAAAAACUCAGUCUGCCCGGUGCAUGGACUGUGGCACUCCAUUCUGCCAUCAGGAAAACUCUGGAUGUCCUCUUGGAAACAAAAUACCUGAGUUCAAUGAGCUGGUAUACCAAAAUAGGUGGUAGGAAGCACUAGAUCGACUGUUGGAGACAAAUAAUUUCCCCGAGUUUACAGGCCGCAUGUGUCUUGCACUGUGUGAAGGCUCUUGUGUUCUUGGUAUCAUUGAGAAUCCUGUUUCCAUCAAAUAUUGAAUACUCGAUCAUAGACAAGGCCUUUGAGGAGGGUGGAUGGUGCCCCGGCCACCCCAGAAGAGAAUAGGGAAAAAAGUUGCGAUUGUGGGAAGUGGACCGGCUGGAUUGGCUGCAGCUGACUAGCUGAACAGGAUGGGCCAUUUUGUGAUAGUGUAUGAGCGUGGCGAUCGAAUUGGGGGCCUAAUGAUGUAUGGUGUGCCAAACAUGAAGACUGACAAAGUGGAUGUAGUUCAACGGCGAGUUAACUUGAUGGCUUAGGAAGGUGUCAAUUUUGUGGUGAAUGCCAGCAUUGGGAAGGAUUCAUCAUACUCUCUUGAUAGGCUCCAAAAGGAAAAUGAUGCUAUUGUUUUAGCUGUUGGCGCCACAAAACCAAGGGACCUUCCUGUACCUGGACGCGAAUUGUCAGGUGUUCAUUUUGCCAUGGAGUUCCUUCAUGCAAACACAAAGAGCUUGCUUGACAGCAACCUUAAGGAUGGUAACUACAUAUCUGCAAAGGGAAAGAAGGUAGUGGUCAUUGGUGGAGGUGACACUGGCACGGAUUGCAUAGGAACAUCUAUCAGGCAUGGCUGCUGUAGAAUUGUAAACUUGGAGUUGCUUUCUAAGCCACUGGAGAAGAGGGCUCCAGGCAACCCUUGGCCACAGUGGCCUCGCGUCUACCAUGUUGAUUAUGGCCACUAGGAAGCAGCAGCUAAGUUUGGGAAAGACCCAAGGUCUUAUGAAGUGCUAACUAAGCAGUUUAUUGGUGAUGAAAAUGGGGUCGUUAAAGGGCUUGAAGUAGUGUGUGUUAGGUGGGAGAAGGAUGCUAUUGGGAAGUUUCAGUUCAAAGAAAUUGAGGGAUCUGAGGAAAUCAUUGAGGCUGAUCUGGUUUUACUGGCCAUGGGAUUCCUUGGUCCAGAAUCGACUAUUGCAGACAAGUUAGGUCUAGAGAGAGAUGGCAGGUCAAACUUCAAGGCUGACUAUGGCCGGCUUGCGACCAAUGUGGACGGAGUUUUUGCUGCUGGGGAUUGCUGAUGUGGUUAGUCUCUGGUGGUGUGGGCCAUCUCCGAGGGAAGGCAAGCUGCGGUGCAGGUCGAUAGAUUCCUCAUGCCAAAGGAGGAGGAUCUCACCGUCGACCCUGAGGCAUAUAUCUUCUUUCAAAUUAUUCAAUACGGCAUCAACUGCUAAUUGUAUCAUGCUCGCCUGUGGGGGGAGCCAUCUUCAAGUGCUUAUUGUUCUUUUAUGUAUAUAACAAGAUUCUCAUUGCCACCCAAAGUCACUUUUCAUCAUUGAGGCAAUACUUUUGUCCGGGAAAAAGGUGGGUAUAAAACAGAAAAAGCAGAGAACAUCAUUUUUUGUCAUGUCCUUUCCACAGUUGCCCGUGUUGGAUCAAAACAGGCAUCUCGAAUCUUUGAUUCGUCUAUUGUUAUUUAUUGUGCAGUAUUUUGUUGUUUGAUCACAAGAAUGUAGCACUUUCAAACUUAAUUCGGCAUUUGAAGGUUGAAUACAGAACAUGGUCAUUGGUCGA